AUGGAGCUUUCUCCCUCCCAGUCCUGAAAUAGAGCAGACCAUGCCCUGAGGAGAAGCAGCAGAGGACAGGACACUGU
rnacentral:pre_miRNA from 1 species